AACGAACGCUGGCGGCAGGCCUAACACAUGCAAGUCGAACGCUCGUAGCAAUACGAGAGUGGCAGACGGGUGAGUAACACGUGGGAACCUUCCCUAUGGUUCGGAAUAGCUCAGGGAAACUUGGGGUAAUACCGGAUAAGCCCUUGGGGGAAAGAUUUAUCGCCAUUGGAUGGGCCCGCGUCGGAUUAGCUAGUUGGUGAGGUAACGGCUCACCAAGGCAACGAUCCGUAGCUGGUCUGAGAGGAUGAUCAGCCACACUGGGACUGAGACACGGCCCAGACUCCUAC
rnacentral:rRNA from 1 species